rnacentral:rRNA from 1 species
AAGUGGAUAGUGAAACCUGGUGGCUCAACCAUACAGGCUAUUAUUCAAACUCACAAACUCGAGAAUGGUAGAGGUAACUGGAAUUUCUAGUGUAGGAGUGAAAUCCGUAGAUAUUAGAAGGAACACCAAUGGCGUAGGCAGGCUACUGGACCAUUUCUGACGCUAAGGCACGAAAGCGUGGGGAGCGAACCGGAUUAGAUACCCGGGUAGUCCACGCCGUAAACGAUGGAUACUA